CUCAUCAUCAUGAGGACUCCCUAUCGUGACGUUACUCACUGUAUCUUUAUGCAGUGCUCCAUGGAGCGCAUGCUGCGAGCACAUGGGAAGGAGGUCGAGAUUUGUGUUUGAAAGGCACGCACCUAUCCGAAAUGGAAUAGAACUAAUAAUGCACAAAACGGAGUCAGGGAACGGGAUGGCUGUUUGACGACCCUGCCCUUUCUGCUAUACUCAGCUGUCAAUCAUUCAGGAUCAGCAGAUCUCUAAUCAAGACAUGGACCUGGAUGCAAAGACUGAACAGGACCUGAGCCCGAGGACCCUGCCUCAGGACUACCCGGCAUGAUGGCUCCUUGCUGUCCUAGUCCACCUGGCCGUGCUGCUGCUCCAGUUUCAACUGUUCUGCCUGUGGUUAUGGAACCCUGACCUGUUCACUGGAUGUGCUACCUGUCCCAGACCUGCUGUUUUCAACUCUCUAGAGACAGCAGGCGUGGUAGAAAUACUCUCAAUGAUCGGCUAUGAAAAGCCAACUGACAUUUACUCCUGAGGUGCUGACUUGUUGCACCCUCGACAACUACUGUGGUUAUUAUUAUUUGACCAUGCUGGUCAUUUAUGAACAUUUGAACAUCUUGGCCAUGUUCUGUUAUUCUGCUGAGGAGACGUUAUCCAUGUAUCUCCCCAGAAAGGCCCUCACCUCUUCGUCCUUAACGUAAGGGUUGUAAAUGUUGACAGUUACAACCCUAAAGUUAUUCUUCGCCAGGCUUGUUAUUUCGUAGUGGCACAUCGGCCUCUCACCUCCCACUGCUCUUGCCCUUCUCAGGAUAUCAUCGUGUUUUUCCUCUGUAUAUAGUGCCACGUCGUAUGCUCCCUCCAACGAGUUGCCUUGGAAACAAAACACGUCCUUCACCGUCAGCUUUAGAAUCCCCAUCAAUAUUAUCCUUCCAAAAGUUUCCCGUCCUAAAGGCUCCAACUCCUUUUCCUUCCAAGCAAACCAAAUCGUGUUGGCCAGCCCAAUCCCAGGGACCGACCGUGUUGAUGUAUUUAGCACCAUCUCCGCAAGGAGAAUGGCGCUCGUUCUCUUCUCUUCCAAAACAAGUAAAAAGAAAAACCAAAGUGACCGAGCCUAUCUGGUGAAACUACACAGAGACAGGAACAAUCACCCACGAAACACUCAAAGAAUAUGGCUGCCAAAAUAUGGUUCCCAAUCAGAGACAACGAUAAACACCUGCCUCUGAUUUGAGAACCACUCCAGGCAACCAUAGACUUUUCUAGACAACCCCACUAACCACAAUCCCAAUACCUACAAAAAACCCAAGACAAAACACACCACAUAAAUAACCCAUGUCACACCCUGGCCUGACCAAAAUAAUAAAGAAAACACAAAAUAUUAAGACCAGGGCGUGACAAUUUUCACAUUUGAAAAACAUUGAAAUUUGGCAUCACCAUGUUGUCACAUUUACUUAACAUUGUUUUCACAUGUGUAGUUUUAUGUUAUCGCAGGUUGCUUUUACAUGUUGUGACAUGUUAUCACAUUACAGUAACUUCACAUAAUAUCAUGUGAUCACAUGAAAUUCAUGUUGUUUUUCUGUAACGGAAUGUCAAAGUGGAAUAAAAAUAUUUUUUACAUUUUUACAGAUGAAUAAAAAAUGAAAAGCUGAUAUGUCUUGAGUCAAUAAGUAUUCAACCCCUUUAUGGCAAGCCUAAAUAAGUUCAGGAACAAAAAGUCACAUGAUUUGCGUGGACUCAUUCUGUGUAAUAUAGUGUUUAAUAUGAUUUUUGAAUGACUACCUCAUCUCUGUACCCCACACAAACAAUUAUCUGUAAGGUCCCUCAGUUGAGCAGGGAAUUUCAAACACCGAUUCAACCACAAAGAUCAGGGAGGUUUUCCAAUGUCUCGCAAAGAAAGUCACCUAUUGGUAGAUGGGUCAAAAAUUUAAAAAGCAGACAUUGAAUAUCCCUUUGAGCAUGGUGAAAUGAUUAAUUACACUUUGGAUGUUGUAUCAACACACCCAGUCACCACAAAGAUACAGGAGUCCUUCUGAAGGAAACCACUCAGGGAUUUCAUCACGAGGCCUAUGGUGACUUUUUUAAACCGUUCGAGUUUAAUGGUUGGAGAAAACUGAGGAUAGAUCAACAACAUUGCAGUUUCUCCACAAAACUAACCUAAAUGAUGGAGUGAAAAGAAGGCUGUACAGAAUAAAAAAUAUUCCAGAACAUGCAUCCUGUUUGCGGCUGGUUUAUCAAAUCAAAUUUUAUUUGUCACGUACAAAUAGUUAGCAGAUGUUAAUGCGAGUGUAGCGAAAUGCUUGACGGGUAGGAGCGUUGGGCUAGUAACAAGAAGGUUGCUGGAUCGAAUCCGGGUGUGCAAAACACUUAUACUUACCCAGAAAGAGGUAAGGUAAUUCUAACGUGUAUUGACUCAGGGGUGUGAAUACUUACGUAAAUGAGAUAUUUCAUUUUCACAGUUAAAUCUUUUACACUUAGCAUGAAUAAACAAGUCAGUUUUCAGUGGAACGGAACACAGGGAUUUAAAAGAGCGUAUGAUGAGUUGUGCAAUGUAAAGUUUUAUGGAGAGGUCAGGUUUGUGUGUGUGUGUGUGUGUGUUUGUGCCAGCGUACCCCCAUGUCUGUCUGCGUGUCUGUGUUGGACUGACAAGGAUUUAGUGGAGUCAUGUAUUUUCAUGGUGUAGGCUGAAAUAUGUUGAGGCCAUGCUGCUGUUGCCUUUAUUCCCCCCGUGUCCAGAAUGCUUUGUACUCUUGUGACGGUCGCUGUCAGUAGCUGUCACAUUCCAUCCAUCUGUACUAAUCAGUCUUUUGUCAAUCAGAAAGAGUCUGGAGCAGAAUGGUUGAGUCUGAAUAAAUCU